rnacentral:rRNA from 1 species
AGUGAACAAUUCAACGGCCGCGGUACCCUAACCGUGCAAAGGUAGCAUAAUCACUUGUCUAUUAAUUGUAGACUAGCAUGAAAGGCAAAAUGAGAGUCUAACUGUCUCUUUUAGUCAAUCAAUUAAACUGAUCUCCUAGUAAAAAAGCUAGGAUAUUUACAUAAGACCAGAAGACCCUGCGAAGCUUAAACCAAACUAUUAAAUCACAUAAUAACUACUUUCGGUUGGGGCGACCUUGGAAAAAAAAAGAACUUCCAAACACAAUGAUUUUAAUCAUAUACUAAGGCCCACAAGCCAUAAACCUAUGACCCAGCUAAAGCUGAUAAUUGAACCAAGUUACUCCAGGGAUAACAGCGCUAUCUUCUUCAAGAGCCCAUAUCAAAAAGAAGGUUUACGACCUCGAUGUUGGAUCAGGACAUCCUAA